AUGAUCAAGCUGAAGGCUCUAUGGAGAGGAAGGACUUUUUUACUAAUAGGUGAUGAAUGCAUUAUGGCAGUCAAUCAACCACGCCAUACUCACGACUGGGAUGAAGUUACUGGAAAAUGGAAACCACGUGGAAUCUGGUUGUUUCUCCAGGUGCUUUCUUCACAUGAAGAGAAACAUUGCUUACCUCUAUCAGGCAGGCAGAAAUAG
rnacentral:rRNA from 1 species